rnacentral:lncRNA from 1 species
CACAGCAAAGAGAUUUCCAGAGCUUUUUGGUUAAAGAGGUUUUUGAAUGUAUGCAUGAGCAAUAUAUGGGCUGACUUUUUAUACUAGCAAAUAUGAAGAUGUAUUAUCCCCUGAGGUUUGUUAUUAACCUCAGUUUCACCUCUGUUAAUAUUUACUUCACAGGUCAAUAAAUCUUGAUAUUCACUUCAACAGAAGCCAAUAUCUUCAGAUUACGAGUUAUUAAUCUUGGCCAAGCUGAAAAAUUGUGUGACUAUUUUUCUUUUGCUAAAGAAAAUGAGGACUUUUUGUCCGUUUUUCCCUCAGCCUCUCUUAAAAGGGAAAGUUAAUUUUUAUCUGAAUCGCCCAACUUCCUUAUCAGCUUUAGUGCUUGAGGUUGAGGUAUGAGACUUCAUAGGAGUUUCAGAAACCUCUCUGUCUCACUGAAGCAACUGCAGGAAGUAGGGGAUAAACAAAUCCUAUCUUAAAUCCUCCUGGGAAAUACUCUGAUUUUAGGAGGAACUAAGAGAGGGUUGUGGCCAAAUUACUCCUGCCCAUCUUUGUGUUAUUUAUGGCCUUUGCUUGAUUUGAGUUAAAACAAAUGUACUUCUAGAACCUGGCAGCAAAAUGCUAUAUAAUAGAGAAGAGCAGCUGUAUCUGGCCCAUCUCAGGAUAAAAAGCAAGUGUGAAAAGACAUCGACGGAGUCUCGCUCUAUGGCAGGCUGCAGUGCAGUGGUGUGAUCUCGGCUCACUGCAACCUCCGCCUCCCAGAUUCAAGGAAUUCUCCUGCUUCAGGCUCCCAAGUAGCUGAGAC